rnacentral:rRNA from 1 species
UACGAAGGGGGCUAGCGUUGUUCGGAAUUACUGGGCGUAAAGCGUAUGCAGGCGGAUCGUUAAGUCGGGGGUGAAAUCCCGAGGCUCAACCUCGGAACUGCCUUCGAUACUGGCGACCUUCGAGUCCGGGAGAGGUGAGUGGAACUCCGAGUGUAGAGGUGAAAUUCGUGGAUAUUCGGAAGAACACCAGUGGCGAAGGCGGCUCACUGGCCCGGUACUGACGCUGAGAUACGAAAGCGUGGGGAGCAAACAGG